AUGACGCUCAUGGGCCGCCAGCGCGCGACACCGAGAAGGAAACGGCCGCGACAACCGGGGGGGACCUGGGGGGAGAUGAUGGAGGGGAGGGGGUCACAGAUGGUAAUGGGGGAUCUAUGGGGUCAAGAGGACAUAUUGGACGGCACUUAUGGGGUCACCGGUGGCCAUAUGGGGCUGUUUGGGGUCACCAGUGUCAUUGGUGCCCAAUAUUGGGGUUUUGUGGGGUUACCAAGGGCUGGAUGUCAUUUAUGGGGUCACUGGUGCCAUAUGGGGCUGGUGGAGUUACUGGUCCUGGAUGGUCACUUAUGGGGCACUGGUGCCCAAUAUGGGCUGUUGGGGUCACCAAUUGCAUGGUGCAUAGUGGGUUUGUGGGGUACCAGGGCUGGAGUCACUUAUGGGGUCAUCUGGUGGGCCAUACAUGGGGUUGUGGGGUUUACCAGUGCUCAUAUCGGAUGUCACUUAUGGGGUCACUGGUGCCAUAUGGGGUUGUGGGGUUACCAGUGCUGGAUGUCACUUAUGGGGUCACUGGUGCCAUAUGGGGUUGUGGGGUUACCAGUGCCAAAUACGGAUGUCACUUACUGGGGUCACUGGUGCCAUAUAACGGGGUUGUGGGGUACCAGGGCUGGAUGUCACUUAUGGGGUCACUGGGGUCAUUGGUGGCUCAUAUGGGGCUGGUGGAGUUACCGGGCUGGAUGUCAGCUUAUGGGGUCCACUGUGCCAGUAUUGGGACCCUCCACAUU
rnacentral:lncRNA from 1 species